ensembl:snRNA U1 U1 spliceosomal RNA
AUACUUACCUGGCAGGGUAGAUACUGUGAUCACGAAGGUGAUUUUCCCAGGUGAGGCUUGUCACUUGCUCUCCGGAUCCGGAUAUGCUGAACCCUGAGAUUUCCCCGAAUGUGGGAACUCGGCUGCAUAACUUGUGGUAAUGGUGGGCUGUGUUCACUCUUUCCCCCA